AGGGGUGCCCUACUACAACUGCCGCAUCAGCACGACCGCCAACCCCUACACCCACGGCUGCGAGUCCAUCACCCACUGCCGCGAUGACGACCCUUCCUAGGUUGUAAACAGAAUCCAGAAAUUACGGAAGACUGCUCAGCUUGAACCUACAGACUUAAUUGAUGUUUACUACGAGUCUGUAGACAACAGCAGCAAUACACUUGAAGAAAUUUUGCAGUCAUAGGAUCAGUGUAUUAGGGACGUGCUUGGCAAUUCACUAGUUCCAAAGGCAGCGGCAACAUCAGAUAUGGUAGAAGAUAGCGACAGAGUUUGAAGGUAUGUGCAAAGAUCUUCUCCUCCGUCUCCGCGACAAAGCUGUUGGGUGCAUCCGUCCAUCAUCUUUAGAUCUGAGUGAAGAGGGCAUCCGUCCAUCUCAAAAGGAUAUGGAUGACCAUCUGAAGGUAUGCAGGUUUCUUCCCAAAUGU